CCUACGGGCGGCAGCAGUGGGGAAUAUUGCACAAUGGGGGGAACCUUGAUGCAGCAACGCCGCGUGGGUGAAGAAGUACUCCGGUAUGUAAAGCCCUGUCAGCAGGGAAGAAAAUGACGGUACCUGACCAAGAAGCCCCGGCUAACUACGUGCCAGCAGCCGCGGUAAUACGUAGGGGGCAAGCGUGAUCCGGAUUUACUGGGUGUAAAGGGAGCGUAGACGGCAAGGCAAGUCUGGAGUGAAAGCCCGUGGCCCAAACACGGGACUGCUUUGGAAACUGUGUUGCUGGAGUGCAGGAGGGGUAAGCGGAAGUCCUGGGGUAGCGGGGAAAUGCGGAGAAAGUAGGAGGAAAACCGGGGGCGAAGGCGGCUUACUGGACUGGAACUGACGGUGAGGCUUGAAGGGGUGGGGAGCAAACAGGAUUAGAUACCCGAGUAGUC
rnacentral:rRNA from 1 species